rnacentral:tRNA from 1 species
GCGUACUUAGCUCAAUGGUCAGAGCGUCACUCAUGAAUGCUGAGGUUGUGGGUUUGAGUCCCACAGUACACA